CCUACGGGUGGCAGCAGUGAGGAAUAUUGGUCAAUGGACGCAAGUCUGAACCAGCCAUGCCGCGUGCAGGAAGACGGCGCUAUGAGUUGUAAACUGCUUUUGUACGAGGGUAAACGCAGACACGCGGAUCUGUCUGAAAGUACUGUAAGAAUAAGGAUCGGCUAACUCCGUGCCAGCAGCCGCGGUAAUACGGAGGAUUCGAGCGUUAUCCGGAUUUAUUGGGUUUAAAGGGUGCGUAGGCGGUCGGAUAAGUUAGAGGUGAAAUCCCGGGGCUCAACUUCGGAAUUGCCUCUGAUACGGUUCGGCUAGAGAGUAGUUGCGGUAGGCGGAAUGUAUAGUGUAGCGGUGAAAUGCUUAGAGAUCGUACAGAACACCGAUUGCGAAGGCAGCUUACCAGGCUACUUCUGACGUUGAGGCACGAAAGCGUGGGGAGCAAACAGGAUUAGAUACCCCUGUAGUC
rnacentral:rRNA from 1 species